rfam:Neotoma lepida isolate 417 scaffold_56, whole genome shotgun sequence.
CUCCUCUGCAGCUCCGGCUCCCCCUGGCCUCUCGGGAACUACAAGUCCCAGGGGGCCCGGCGGCGGGCGGAGACCGGAAGAG